CCUACGGGAGGCAGCAGUGGGGAAUAUUGCACAAUGGGGGAAACCCUGAUCCAGCGACGCCGCGUGAGUGAAGAAGGAUUUCGGUACGUAAAGCUCUAUCAGCCGGGAAGAAAAUGACGGUACCUGACUACGAAGCCCCGGCUAACUACGUGCCAGCAUCCGCGGGAAUACGUAGGGGGCAAGCGUUAUCCGGAUUUACUGGGUGUAAAGGGAGCGUAGACGGGAGCGCAAGUCUGGAGUGAAAUCCAAUGGCUUAACCAUGGAACUGCUUGGGAAACUGUGCAGCUGGAGUGCAGGAGAGGUAAGCGGAAUGCGUAGUGUAGCGGUGAAAUGCGUAGAUAUCACGCAGAACUCCGAUUGCGAAGGCAGCAUACCGGCGCCCGACUGACGCUGAGGCACGAAAGCGUGGGUAUCGAACAGGAUUAGAUACCCUUGUAGUC
rnacentral:rRNA from 1 species